CUUGGUCAGGAUGAACGCUAGCGACAGGCCUAACACAUGCAAGUCGAGGGGCAGCACAAGGAGCAAUCUGAGGUGGCGACCGGCGCACGGGUGAGUAACACGUAUGCAACCUGCCUGUAAGCGGGGAAUAACCCGUUGAAAGACGGACUAAUACCGCAUAAUACUAAAUUACUGCAUGGUAAUUUAUUUAAACAUUUAUGGCUUACAGAUGGGCAUGCGCAUGAUUAGCUAGUUGGAGAGGUAACGGCUCCCCAAGGCAACGAUCAUUAGGGGUUCUGAGAGGAAGGUCCCCCACACUGGUACUGAGACACGGACCAGACUCCUACGGGAGGCAGCAGUGAGGAAUAUUGGUCAAUGGACGAGAGUCUGAACCAGCCAAGUCGCGUGCAGGAAGAAUGUUCCCUAUGGAUUGUAAACUGCUUUUGCAGGGGAAUAAAGUGCAUCACGUGUGAUGUUUUGUAUGUACUCUGCGAAUAAGGAUCGGCUAACUCCGUGCCAGCCGCCGC
rnacentral:rRNA from 1 species